rnacentral:rRNA from 1 species
CGCUGGCGGCAGGCCUAACACAUGCAAGUCGAGCGGUAGAGAGAAGCUUGCUUCUCUUGAGAGCGGCGGACGGGUGAGUAAUGCCUAGGAAUCUGCCUGGUAGUGGGGGAUAACGUUCGGAAACGGACGCUAAUACCGCAUACGUCCUACGGGAGAAAGCAGGGGACCUUCGGGCCUUGCGCUAUCAGAUGAGCCUAGGUCGGAUUAGCUAGUUGGUGGGGUAAUGGCUCACCAAGGCGACGAUCCGUAACUGGUCUGAGAGGAUGAUCAGUCACACUGGAACUGAGACACGGUCCAGACUCCUACGGGAGGCAGCAGUGGGAAUAUUGGACAAUGGGCGAAAGCCUGAUCCAGCCAUGCCGCGUGUGUGAAGAAGGUCUUCGGAUUGUAAAGCACUUUAAGUUGGGAGGAAGGGCAGUAAAUUAAUACUUUGCUGUUUUGACGUUACCGACAGAAUAAGCACCGGCUAACUCUGUGCCAGCAGCCGCGGUAAUACUGAGGGUGCAAGCGUUAAUCGGAAUUACUGGGCGUAAAGCGCGCGUAGGUGGUUAGUUAAGUUGGAUGUGAAAUCCCCGGGCUCAACCUGGGAACUGCAUUCAAAACUGACUGACUAGAGUAUGGUA